GUUUUUUGAAUGUUAAUUCCUAUUUUUGAAGCGUCAAACAAACAGUAUAUAAGCACUGAUUUUACUGCUGUUUAGCACCUUCUCACUGGAAGGCUGAAGCUAUCGGUCGGUGCUGAAAUGAAAUCUACUCUACAAAUAUUCUACAUAUUCUCCAGAAGGUCUGCAACAAAAUCUGUUCUAUCCUAUUUUUUAAUGAUGUCUUGAUGUCUUCUGUUUUUCACAGAGAUAUUAAAGAUCACCAUGAGGCUGCUGACCGUGUUUGUGUUUCUUUGUGUAAUGGUCCCUCUGAUCAUUACUGCUCAAAAAUCGGGCAGCAGUGGGGCAGAGAAUAAUCCACAAGAAGAGCAAGCUGUUGACAAGAGGAUCCUGUGGUAUUGGCGCAAAACUUAUCGUUGCGUUAGAUGGCGAUGGGUAUGGAGAAAGCGAUGGGGGAAAGACGUGAACGAAUAAUAUAUAUACGCUCACCACUGAUACCGAUUUUGUCUGGGUCUGAAAAAGAAGAUGAUUCCUGGUCUUUCAUGAAAAUGGUCCAUCAGACAGAGAAGCAAAUACUUUCAUCCAACUCCCUGAACUAUCAGUUUCCCCUUUUACAUCUUUACUUAUUUUCUUUUGCUGUAUUGCUGCAUAAAGAAUGAAGCAACAAGUGACACAAACUGGAGUCGACCGGACUGUCUCUUUUAAUAACAAAAACUAUUCAUUUCUGUUCUUAUUAUCUUCAUCAUUAAACUCUUAAGCAUUAAAUGAAAUUGGUCUCUGAGUCUGUCACAUGUCACCUUUUUAUUGGUCUAAACCCAAACACCAAAUUUGUUUUUCAUCUAUCUUCGUUUUAAAAUACCUAAAUAGAAAAUAACAAGUCUGACCUGCUAAUAUCUGACUGAGCUCAAAGCAUUUACUAAGAUCCUAAACAAUAACCUGAAUAAAGUAUUAAUAUUAAGUUGGUCUAAUGAUAAUUUCCAGAAUUGAUCUCAGCUACUGUUUGAUAUGCGAGUAAACAAAGCAGAUGAUAAAAGAAAAAGGACUCAUAAAAUACCUUUUCAAAAGGACACAUUUUAUUUUUGUCUUCAUUGAUACAAAUACAUUGUUGUCAUAUUUGACAACAAUAAGGAGAACAGUGGUUUUCCUCCCAACUUUUGACCAAUCAACUUAGUUUCCUGUUUAUCACACAUAAUAAAAAGCAUUUACUGCUGAGGCACAGCAGCCUUUGUCUCUGAGCCAGAGAGAAAGAGCUCCAUGGAGUUGUGUAAAAUAAUC
ensembl:lncRNA